rnacentral:rRNA from 1 species
UACGUAGGGGGCAAGCGUUGUCCGGAAUCAUUGGGCGUAAAGCGCGUGUAGGCGGCCCGGUAAGUCCGCUGUGAAAGUCGGGGGCUCAACCCUCGGAUGCCGGUGGAUACUGUCGGGCUAGAGUGCGGGAGAGGCGAGUGGAAUUCCUGGUGUAGCGGUGAAAUGCGCAGAUAUCAGGAGGAACACCAAUUGCGAAGGCAGCUCGCUGGAACGGUACUGACGCUGAGGCGCGAAAGCGUGGGGAGCGAACAGG